rnacentral:rRNA from 1 species
UACGGGGGGGGCAAGCGUUGUUCGGAAUUACUGGGCGUAAAGGGCUCGUAGGCGGCCAACUAAGUCGGAUGUGAAAUCCCCAGGCUCAACCUGGGAACUGCAUCCGAUACUGGAUGGCUUGAAUCCGGGAGAGGGAUGCAGAAUUCCAGGUGUAGCGGUGAAAUGCGUAGAUAUCGGGAGGAACACCUGUGGCGAAAGCGGCGCACUGGACCAUAACUGACGCUGAGGCGCGAAAGCUAGGGGAGCAAACAGG